CAUUUUGGCAUGAAAUUGUAGGGUAAACACAGGUGCAACAAUGAUGCUAAUGAGGGCUCCGCACGUUCAGGUUGGCUCAUUGGGAAGACUGUGCUACACUAACUGGAACAGGACCUCAAUCAGUGUGAUUGUUUGGCCCGAUUUAGACAGUCUUGAGAUUGACAGCAAAUAUCGUUUGAAUGAAAGUCGGAUACCGAGACCUGUGAAGUGGACAUUUUCAACAUGAAAACAUAUCGGGAAGGUUUGACAGACAGCUCUGGACAAAAACAGGCCUUUUAAGGGGACGAGAAGUAGCUUCAACUACAGCUUCAAAGAGACGGAGAGCCUCCAAAGGACAUAUGAUGAUGAGGAAGCAGAAAGGGGGAAGGGCAGAGUGCGGAGCAACGGUUGCAGAGGUCCUUUUCCUGGUGGUAGAGAUGGGAGAAAAUGUGCUUUACCGCCGGAAGAAGAAUACAACUGCAGGCUUUCUCACAUCGCAGCAGAGCAUGGAGAAAAUUUCAAGUGCACGUCUAAGGAUGCGUCAGACAGGAGACAACCUCUUCAGUCUUGGCAGAAACAAAUGGAGUACAAUACCUGUGAUUCUUCAGAGCAGUUCUGCUGUGAACAGUACUGUACAAGGCAAACUUUGUCUACAGUUGGAAUCCGGACACAAGCCAUUUACUCAGUAACAUCAUUAACUAACCUGUGAUGAAGUGUUUGCCACAGACGUACACAUAUUGACGGUCCGGGUCCCACAGUUUACCCUUUUUAUCCUCCCUGUUUAUGGCCUGAAGCCACAGAUCUCUUUCACUGUCCUUUGUUCUUUGGGGAAGUAAAGAAAAUCGUAAAGUGUUAUUUUUAUUUUAUUGUUUUAUGUGCAAUAUGCGACCCAGCAGCUUUUAGGCAUGGUGCCACUAGGCACUUUUACAGUGGGGGCGUGGUCGUUCUGAAGACAAGACGGUGAUGCAUGUCUGCUCUCAUCUAAAGAGGCAGCUCUCUAAGCUGUGGCGUCCACUGGUUCCUUUUUACUUGCUGAAAAAAAGUUGCUUUUGGGGCCAGUUGUCUGGUCUUGCACACAAGGUGAGACUGAGGUGGGUCCUCAGAAUCUGUGCCAUUUAUUUUGACAGAGCAAUGACUAAUGGUGUAACUUCAUCACUUAGUCAGUUUGGUUCUGUUGACUGUUGGUCAGACAAAACAAUACAUUAUUCUGCACAACUUUAUUCAGGGUAGGCUGCAAGAUGUGGUGAAAAGCUAGCGAAUGAUCCUUGAUUUAAGAUUUUGUCAAACUACUAUUCCCAAGAUCAAGAGUGAACAUUCACUCUCAAAUGGCAAAUGAUGUAUUCUUUGUGAUGUCAUAUUAAUGAAUAUUAAUAAACGAUUUUGUCAGUCAAAAA
rnacentral:lncRNA from 1 species